UUUAAUUAAAGGUAUUGCCUUAGGGCAAGCGUUGUGGGGGUGCUAACACUUUCCCCACACGUAAACGACUUCCGAAACCAGAAUUUGGUUUUAUAGACCUUGCCUUAUCAUUUUAUGGUUUUUCUGUAGUUUUCCAGAAUAAACUAUGGUGGCGACUCCAAAACUUUUUUCAAAAUCGUUUCUUUUUUGAAUCGUCGUCCCGUCGCGACAUCGGUUGCGACAAUAAUAAUAACUAAACUAGAAUUUUCAUACUUCAUAAAAUUUCAGAGCUCAAUUGCAUAAAUCAAAAUUUAUUCAUCAAGCAUGCUUUACCACAAUAUUAGAAAAUUCAAAAAGUUAAUAUAAGUACUAAACUAGUCUAAUAUUAAUUCUAAGCUUAAGAUUUCACAACUAUCAAUUUCAGUCAACAAUUAGCACAAAACAAGCAUACCACCAAAGUUAAAAAAUUUUAGUUUCCCUAACUUAUAAUAACACAUUAAACUUUUAAUAUACUGACAUGCCUCUAACUUCACAAUAUGUUCUAUUUACACAAAAAAAAUAUCACAAGAGUUAUCGAAUCACACAAUUAUGAUCAAUGAUUACCAGAAACUCAUAUUAAUAACUUAGGUGACACAUGCAAGCAAGAAGUUCUCACAUGUAAGAGAGAAACAAAAUUGACCAAAGGAAAAAUAGUCAAUAUUUACUUACUUAGACAAAAAAAAAACUGACCAAACAUAAAAGAGAAGUUCGUCAAGAGGAUGAGUCCAACUAUCUCCAUUCUUUAAAGACAUAAAAAAGAUAAAAAAG
rnacentral:lncRNA from 1 species